AUUAGGUCUCUUUAUAUACGAACG
rnacentral:siRNA from 1 species